GGUUAAGCGACUAAGCGUACACGGUGGAUGCCCUGGCAGUCAGAGGCGAUGAAGGACGUGCUAAUCUGCGAUAAGCGUCGGUAAGGUGAUAUGAACCGUUAUAACCGGCGAUUUCCGAAUGGGGAAACCCAGUGUGUUUCGACACACUAUCAUUAACUGAAUCCAUAGGUUAAUGAGGCGAACCGGGGGAACUGAAACAUCUAAGUACCCCGAGGAAAAGAAAUCAACCGAGAUUCCCCCAGUAGCGGCGAGCGAACGGGGAGCAGCCCAGAGCCUGAAUCAGUGUGUGUGUUAGUGGAAGCGUCUGGAAAGGCGCGCGAUACAGGGUGACAGCCCCGUACACAAAAAUGCACAUACUGUGAGCUCGAUGAGUAGGGCGGGACACGUGGUAUCCUGUCUGAAUAUGGGGGGACCAUCCUCCAAGGCUAAAUACUCCUGACUGACCGAUAGUGAACCAGUACCGUGAGGGAAAGGCGAAAAGAACCCCGGCGAGGGGAGUGAAAAAGAACCUGAAACCGUGUACGUACAAGCAGUGGGAGCACGCUUCGGCGUGUGACUGCGUACCUUUUGUAUAAUGGGUCAGCGACUUAUAUUCUGUAGCAAGGUUAACCGAAUAGGGGAGCCGAAGGGAAACCGAGUCUUAACUGGGCGUUAAGUUGCAGGGUAUAGACCCGAAACCCGGUGAUCUAGCCAUGGGCAGGUUGAAGGUUGGGUAACACUAACUGGAGGACCGAACCGACUAAUGUUGAAAAAUUAGCGGAUGACUUGUGGCUGGGGGUGAAAGGCCAAUCAAACCGGGAGAUAGCUGGUUCUCCCCGAAAGCUAUUUAGGUAGCGCCUCGUGAAUUCAUCUCCGGGGGUAGAGCACUGUUUCGGCAAGGGGGUCAUCCCGACUUACCAACCCGAUGCAAACUGCGAAUACCGGAGAAUGUUAUCACGGGAGACACACGGCGGGUGCUAACGUCCGUCGUGAAGAGGGAAACAACCCAGACCGCCAGCUAAGGUCCCAAAGUCAUGGUUAAGUGGGAAACGAUGUGGGAAGGCCCAGACAGCCAGGAUGUUGGCUUAGAAGCAGCCAUCAUUUAAAGAAAGCGUAAUAGCUCACUGGUCGAGUCGGCCUGCGCGGAAGAUGUAACGGGGCUAAACCAUGCACCGAAGCUGCGGCAGCGACACUAUGUGUUGUUGGGUAGGGGAGCGUUCUGUAAGCCUGUGAAGGUGUGCUGUGAGGCAUGCUGGAGGUAUCAGAAGUGCGAAUGCUGACAUAAGUAACGAUAAAGCGGGUGAAAAGCCCGCUCGCCGGAAGACCAAGGGUUCCUGUCCAACGUUAAUCGGGGCAGGGUGAGUCGACCCCUAAGGCGAGGCCGAAAGGCGUAGUCGAUGGGAAACAGGUUAAUAUUCCUGUACUUGGUGUUACUGCGAAGGGGGGACGGAGAAGGCUAUGUUGGCCGGGCGACGGUUGUCCCGGUUUAAGCGUGUAGGCUGGUUUUCCAGGCAAAUCCGGAAAAUCAAGGCUGAGGCGUGAUGACGAGGCACUACGGUGCUGAAGCAACAAAUGCCCUGCUUCCAGGAAAAGCCUCUAAGCAUCAGGUAACAUUAAAUCGUACCCCAAACCGACACAGGUGGUCAGGUAGAGAAUACCAAGGCGCUUGAGAGAACUCGGGUGAAGGAACUAGGCAAAAUGGUGCCGUAACUUCGGGAGAAGGCACGCUGAUAUGUAGGUGAAGUCCCUCGCGGAUGGAGCUGAAAUCAGUCGAAGAUACCAGCUGGCUGCAACUGUUUAUUAAAAACACAGCACUGUGCAAACACGAAAGUGGACGUAUACGGUGUGACGCCUGCCCGGUGCCGGAAGGUUAAUUGAUGGGGUUAGCGGUAACGCGAAGCUCUUGAUCGAAGCCCCGGUAAACGGCGGCCGUAACUAUAACGGUCCUAAGGUAGCGAAAUUCCUUGUCGGGUAAGUUCCGACCUGCACGAAUGGCGUAAUGAUGGCCAGGCUGUCUCCACCCGAGACUCAGUGAAAUUGAACUCGCUGUGAAGAUGCAGUGUACCCGCGGCAAGACGGAAAGACCCCGUGAACCUUUACUAUAGCUUGACACUGAACAUUGAGCCUUGAUGUGUAGGAUAGGUGGGAGGCUUUGAAGUGUGGACGCCAGUCUGCAUGGAGCCGACCUUGAAAUACCACCCUUUAAUGUUUGAUGUUCUAACGUUGACCCGUGAUCCGGGUUGCGGACAGUGUCUGGUGGGUAGUUUGACUGGGGCGGUCUCCUCCUAAAGAGUAACGGAGGAGCACGAAGGUUGGCUAAUCCUGGUCGGACAUCAGGAGGUUAGUGCAAUGGCAUAAGCCAGCUUGACUGCGAGCGUGACGGCGCGAGCAGGUGCGAAAGCAGGUCAUAGUGAUCCGGUGGUUCUGAAUGGAAGGGCCAUCGCUCAACGGAUAAAAGGUACUCCGGGGAUAACAGGCUGAUACCGCCCAAGAGUUCAUAUCGACGGCGGUGUUUGGCACCUCGAUGUCGGCUCAUCACAUCCUGGGGCUGAAGUAGGUCCCAAGGGUAUGGCUGUUCGCCAUUUAAAGUGGUACGCGAGCUGGGUUUAGAACGUCGUGAGACAGUUCGGUCCCUAUCUGCCGUGGGCGCUGGAGAACUGAGGGGGGCUGCUCCUAGUACGAGAGGACCGGAGUGGACGCAUCACUGGUGUUCGGGUUGUCAUGCCAAUGGCACUGCCCGGUAGCUAAAUGCGGAAGAGAUAAGUGCUGAAAGCAUCUAAGCACGAAACUUGCCCCGAGAUGAGUUCUCCCUGACCCUUUAAGGGUCCUGAAGGAACGUUGAAGACGACGACGUUGAUAGGCCGGGUGUGUAAGCGCAGCGAUGCGUUGAGCUAACCGGUACUAAUGAACCGUGAGGCUUAACCUU
rnacentral:rRNA from 1 species